GAUCCCGGUCGUGUGGGAGAAGGGCUGUUUGUGAUUUGAAGCACACUUUGUUAUGCAAAAAGGAAAAUAAGCCGUCAGUAUUUAUUUUUUUUAGCUCUACUGGAAAUGAAGAGUUAAGUCUUGGUAUUGGGACCCUGGAGUCCAUUGUUCUUCCAAAAGAAUACUGCGAACUUUCCUUUUUAAAUCAGCUGAAUCAGUUAAAGGGGUUUAUUGGGACGAAGAAAACCGUUGGAUUAGUAGUUUGUUGUUUAGUUUGUUUAGUAUUCCAUCAGUGAAUUGAGUCCUUCACAGGACUCGAGAACUUCACAAGUUCAAUAUAAGAUUGGCCAAAGUUAUUACAUUUUCAGAGGACAAGGAUGUAAUAUUAUCCACAAAAAAUGCUAUGAUGAAGAAAACCGGGCCUGCAACCUCUGCUGAUAAGCAAGUAAUAGCAAAAAAGUCUUAUCCAAAGACUACUUAUAGUCAACGGGGCUCCAAAAAAAGUACAACCUCACUAAAAUUGUCAACUGAUGGUUCUACAAUGGCUAGAAAAAGAAUGCAAAUUCUUGAUGAAGACUUAGAAGGUAUGGUAUGUAAAAUUUCAGUAAAGACAAGUAUUUGUCAUCUGAACUAGACUCGGGUGACAGCUUUAACCUAAAUGAACAAGAAUACUGUAAUUGGGUCAUUCCAUAUGAAAUCAACCAAUGACAGUGACGGUCAUCUCGCCGAUUUUAAAUUUUUUUAAUGUUUUAUUGUUGAUAUAUACUGUACUAGUUAGUAUCCAAAAUUUUUUUGAAAAUAAAUCACCCGUUCCCGUGUUACAGGCUUUCAAAGUUUUUAGCGCGCUUAAAUUAGGUAUAGUUUAAUAAUCAUUUUUACCUAAAAGUAUGUAGGAAUAUAUAUAUUUUUAAAUUGGAUAAGUAGAUUAUCAUACUUCAUCAUACUAUGUUAUUAUAAUUUCUAGGGAAAUGAGUAAAAUGAUUAACGUGAUAAUGGAGGACUUGUGGGAUAGAACAUUUAUGUCAAGCCACAGUUUAACUGGAAAAAAGGCACCCACUGAUAAAAGUAGCAAUCCUCCCAAGCCUGCUCUUCCAAAAAAAGUUGUUGAAGCCAUAACAGGAAACCCGACACAAGAUGGGAAUCGAUCCGUCAUUGGUGUCUCUAUGCAUAACUGCAAAAAUUUUAAUUGAGCACAUGGCUCAAAAGUCAAGAGAGAAGAUGCUGGCAGUGGAGGAAGUGGCAGAUUCAGAGUAAAUUAAUAAACAGUGCGUUUCUAGUCCAAUAUUUAUGCACUUAUAUGAUUACGUUUACAAUGUCCCUGUAUGUAAUAUUUUUCGCAUUCACGUUCGUUUUUACAGUUUUUUCUAUUGUAUUUUAUAUAAAGUCACGCAUUUGAAAUUUCGGAAACACAAAGAAAUCUAUACCAAAUACAAAGAAUGUUCCA